GUCCGUCUCGGCCUGGGGAGAGGAGACAGGAGGGGGAAGGAACGGGAGGAAAGGUUUCACUUUCGUUUUCGCGCGGCCUCCCUCUCUUGGGUAGGGGGCGCCGGGAGACUGAGCCUGCACCUUGGAAUCUGGAAGGCAGAGCCCACAGGCCUCCUCUUUUCACACUUCAAUUCUAAGGUAUCCUUUAUCAUUGAUUGGUUCUGCCUCAUUCCAGCUGAGAGCUGUUAAACCUUAACUUAAAAAGAGGAAGGUCUCCCACAGCAUCCAGUACUCUCUCCGGUCCUGAUCUAUAUCUUGCCAUAGGACCCAGAAGGCUCUGGAGGAGAAAAGCUUCUGAACUAGCUUUGACAAUGCAUGUGACAAUUUCAUCUAUGUGUACAUCCCUGUAAAGUAGAUUGCCAAGGCAUCUGAUGAUGGGCGUUACUGAAAAUACACUAAAAGCAUGGGAGCACGCAUACAGCCUGUUUCUCUUUACUGGUGACUGGGAAGAUGAUGGAACAUUGUCCAUUAUCCAGAACUGUGCAAGCAUGGCACCGAGGAACUGUUCUACAAUACUGACAGACUUCUCUGGACAACUAAAUUUUGCCACAAUCUUCCACAAGCCCUCACAACUGACAGUAUUAAAGGCCUUGGUCAGAUUAACAGAUAUUGUGUAUAGAUCUCUGUUGUUUCUCCUGGAUUUGUUGGGUAGCAGACACCAUAGAGAUUGUUCCUUGGCCCUUUCCGAAGCCAUUCUGGUUCUCAAGUAGAUGGCUAUCUCUCAGGGGAAGGAGCAGCCUUUUAAGAAGAAUUCCUGCAAGAAUUUUCUGGCAGUCACUAAGAGAGAGAGAGAACCCCUCCUCACUAUUUUUUCCUUCCUCAUGAUUGUAGCAGGACAACCUAUUUCUUUACCUUUACAGACAUGGACAUUGUGGAGGCAUUUUUGAAUUCCUGGGGGAUAAUCUCUUCUUACCUUGUAACCCAGAAGAUUUCACUCAACUUUUAUAUGAGCAGUGGACCCCAACUUGUAAAUCUCAGCUGGAAUAGAAUCAGCAGCAGGAACUUUGCAACAGUCUAAUGAUAUUCAAAGUCUCUUCUUCAGUUGGGAUUUCAGCUAGAGAAGGAUUGAUUUCAACCUGACAUAAAUGGUGAGUGGCUAUUGUACUCCAUUCUCAGAGGACCAAAAUGACAUUUCUACAUUAGAGUCGUCUUACAGUGGGUCUGACUGUGGCUGAUCAGACCAAGACAAGCAUGGAAGGCUCUGCCACAGGUCAGAUACAAAUCGUCCCUAUGAACAUUUGAGGCAGUUUCUCUAAUUGCAUAUCUUGUGUUUCUUCUGAGCUAUUUUAAUUUUACUUUGCUCAUAGAGCAUCAUACCUUUUUCUAAUAGAUAAGGGUAUGCAUACUGGGUGGUCCUGUACCAAUUUAUGUUAUUAUUAUUAUGUAAUCAAUUCUAAAAUUCUUUAGAUCUUGAGAA